rnacentral:rRNA from 1 species
UACGUAGGGUCCGAGCGUUGUCCGGAAUUAUUGGGCGUAAAGGGCUCGUAGGCGGUUUGUCGCGUCGGGAGUGAAAACGCCGGGCUUAACCCGGUGCUUGCUUUCGAUACGGGCAGACUGGAGGUAUGCAGGGGAGAACGGAAUUCCUGGUGUAGCGGUGAAAUGCGCAGAUAUCAGGAGGAACACCGGUGGCGAAGGCGGGUCUCUGGGCCGAAACUGACGCUGAGGAGCGAAAGCGUGGGGAGCAAACAGG